AUUGAACGCUGGCGGCAUGCUUUACACAUGCAAGUCGAACGGUAACAGGCCUUCGGGUGCUGACGAGUGGCGAACGGGUGCGUAAUGCAUCGGAACGUACCCAGAGGUGGGGGAUAACGCAGCGAAAGCUGUGCUAAUACCGCAUGUGAUCUGAGGAUGAAAGCGGGGGACCGAGCAGCAAUGUUUGGCCUCGCGCCUUUGGAGCGGCCGAUGUCGGAUUAGCUAGUUGGUGGGGUAAAGGCCUACCAAGGCGACGAUCCGUAGCUGGUCUGAGAGGACGACCAGCCACACUGGGACUGAGACACGGCCCAGACUCCUACGGGAGGCAGCAGUGGGGAAUUUUGGACAAUGGGCGCAAGCCUGAUCCAGCAAUGCCGCGUGCGGGAAGAACGCCUUCGGGUUGUAAACCGCUUUUGGCAGGAACGAAACGGUGUCCGCUAAUACCGGGCGCUAAUGACGGUACCUGCAGAAUAAGCACCGGCUAACUACGUG
rnacentral:rRNA from 1 species